rnacentral:rRNA from 1 species
UAAGGAAUCUUGCACAAUGGGGGAAACCCUGAUGCAGCAACGCCGCGUGGAGGAAGACGGCCUUCGGGUUGUAAACUCCUUUUAUAUGGGACGAACAUUGACGGUACCAUAUGAAUAAGAGGUGGCUAACUAUGUGCCAGCAGCCGCGGUAAUACAUAGACCUCAAGCGUUAUCCGGAUUUACUGGGCGUAAAGCGUGCGUAGGCGUUUCUUUAAGUCGGCGGUGAAAUCUCCGGGCUCAACCCGGAAACUGUCGCCGAAACUGAAGAAAUAGAGUAUGACAGAGGCAGACGGAAUUCUAGGUGUAGCGGUAAAAUGCGUAGAUAUCUAGAAGAACACCAGUGGCGAAGGCGGUCUGCUGGGUCAUCACUGACGCUGAGGUACGAAAGCGUGGGUAGCGAACGG